rnacentral:lncRNA from 1 species
UGGCUAGUGAGCAAUGCAAUUCUGGGAAUGUUCAGGCUCUCUCUGUUCUUUCCUCUCUUGCAAACCAUGGGCACCCUUGGGUCCCUUGGGGUCACUAUGUUACACCUGCUUUUUAUCUGUCUGGGCAAGAGCUGCUCAAGCCACACCUUGUGACACUGAGCAGCCUCAGGAGGACAACGUCAGAAACCAAAAGCUCCUCUGCCCAGGGAUGGGGACCCGCCGACUUCAAGGGCAGAACAGGAGGACAGCACAUUGCACUCUCACCUCCUUUGCAGUUAAGUGUGAAAUAGUGCCAAUAGAGUGUAAAAGAAAAGAAAGAAGAUGAUUCACCUCCCAAAGAUUCCCCACUGCUGUGUCCCUUCUAUCAACUUGAUACAAAAAAACACAAUGGCCCCGGGAACCACGUGUUGAAGAUGAGAGAGCUAAAAGAUGGAAAGAGACUGGAGCCCUGAGUCACCACCUGGAGGAAAACUACCCACCCAUCAGGAAUUUCUACUACACAUUUGGGAGUUUUUGGGGUUACAGCAGCUAAUUUAACGAAAACACCCAGAGACAAGAGCUAUUACUGCACAAAUUGGUUAAGUUACCUUUUUGUAUGUUUGGGUCCUCUCUAUUCGAUGAGACUGCGCGUUCCUUUGAAGCAAAUCUGUUUAAAAUUCUUAUAUCCCCAGAGGGCCUAGCAGAGAGUAUGCACAGAGUGAGCCUUCAGUAAAUGCUGAGUAAAUAAGCUCCUAAUGGAUGAAA